AUUGAACGCUGGCGGCAUGCCUUACACAUGCAAGUCGAACGGUAACGCGGGGCAACCUGGCGACGAGUGGCGAACGGGUGAGUAAUAUAUCGGAACGUACCCAGUAGUGGGGGAUAGCCCGGCGAAAGCCGGAUUAAUACCGCAUACGACCUACGGGUGAAAGCGGGGGAUCGCAAGACCUCGCGCUAUUGGAGCGGCAGAUAUCAGAUGAGGUAGUUGGUGGGGUAAAGGCCUACCAAGCCGACGAUCUGUAGCUGGUCUGAGAGGACGACCAGCCACACUGGGACUGAGACACGGCCCAGACUCCUACGGGAGGCAGCAGUGGGGAAUUUUGGACAAUGGGCGCAAGCCUGAUCCAGCCAUGCCGCGUGCGGGAAGAAGGCCUUCGGGUUGCAAACCGCUUUUGUCAGGGAAGAAAAGCUCUGGGUUAAUACCCUGGGGUGAUGACGGUACCUGAAGAAUAAGCACCGGCUAACUACGUGCCAGCCGCCGCGGUAAUAC
rnacentral:rRNA from 1 species